CUCCAUCAUGCUUGAGACUGAUCCAUGUGCCACUGCUGCUGAUGUACAAAGGACACAGGAGCUGCCAAGCACCCCCUGCUUGAUUGUACAAGGUGAGCUGAUGAAGCCCAGGGCGUGGAUGUUGUCAAUUGAGGAACGAGUGGUGAUGGGACCACACAGCAACAUCUUGAACGGG